GGGGGCAUAGCUCAGUUGGGAGAGCAGCAGACUGAAGAUUUAGUGUUUUCUGAAGGUCCCGCGUUCAAUCCGCGGUGCCCCCA
rnacentral:tRNA from 1 species